rnacentral:rRNA from 1 species
GUGGCGGACGGGUGAGGAACGCGUGAGAACCUGCCUCAAGGUCGGGGACAACAGUUGGAAACGACUGCUAAUACCGGAUGAGCCUUCGGGUAAAAGAUUUAUCGCCUAGAGAGGGGCUCGCGUCUGAUUAGCUAGAUGGUGAGGUAAAGGCUUACCAUGGCAACGAUCAGUAGCUGGUCUGAGAGGAUGAGCAGCCACACUGGGACUGAGACACGGCCCAGACUCCUACGGGAGGCAGCAGUGGGGAAUUUUCCGCAAUGGGCGAAAGCCUGACGGAGCAAUGCCGCGUGAGGGAGGAAGGCUCCUGGGUUGUAAACCUCAAAACUUAGGGAAGAAAAAAAUGACGGUACCUAAUGUAAGCAUCGGCUAACCCCGUGCCAGCAGCCGCGGUAAUACGGAGGAUGCAAGCGUUAUCCGGAAUCAUUGGGCGUAAAGAGUCCGUAGGUGGCACUUCAAGUCUGCUUUCAAAGACCGAAGCUCAACUUCGGAAAGGGAGUGGAAACUGAAGAGCUAGAGUAUAGUAGGGGUAGAGGGAAUUCCUAGUGUAGCGGUGAAAUGCGUAGAGAUUAGGAAGAACACCAGUGGCGAAGGCGCUCUACUGGGCAUAUACUGACACUGAGGGACGAAAGCUAGGGGAGCGAAAGGGAUUAGAUACCCCUGUAGUCCUA